CGCCUGUUUUUCAAAAACAUGUCUUUUUGAUAAUUAUUUAAGGUCUGGCCUGCUCAAUGAAUGUUUAAAUAGCCGCAGUAUUUUGACUGUGCAAAGGUAGCAUAAUCAUUAGUUUUUUAAUUGAAAGCUGGAAUGAAGGGUCGGAUGAGAAAGUUUCUGUCUCACUUUAAUUUUAUUUGAAUUUUAUUUUUAAGUUAAAAAGCUUAGAUUUUAUAAAAAGACGAGAAGACCCUAUAGAGUUUAAUAAGUUUAGAUUUUUAUUAUUUUAGGAUUUUAUAUUGAUUGAUUUUUAACUUAUUUUGUUGGGGUGAUGUAAGAAUUGAGUUAACUUCUUUAUAUUUAAACAUUGAUUAAUGAUUAAUGGAUCCUUGAAUUUGGAUUGAAAGAAUAAAUUACCUUAGGGAUAACAGCGUAAUUCUUUUGGAGAGUUCUAAUCGAUAAAAGGGAUUGCGACCUCGAUGUUGGAUUAAAGUUAAAUUUUGGUGUAGAAGCUAUAAUUUUG
rnacentral:rRNA from 1 species